UGGCACCCUAAAACAAAGCCAAAGGUAAUCCAGCAGCGAGAAGCCAGGAAUCCAAGGCUUUUACAGAGGGGCUUGGAAAGACGUGGGAACCUGCAAAGCCCCUUCCCUCCCAUUAAACGGAACAAAAUAAGGACAGGAGGAAGAAGAAAGAAAAGAAAAAUGCACCUCCACACUCAUAGCAACACCCACGUGACCUGCCCGGCCAGGUUUCCAAGCAGCCAAUCUGCAUGUACACAGACUCGCAAAGAACGGACUGCGUUAACGUGAAGUUUGAAUACAAGCGUGAUAUAGACUCUGUGUAUGAAACCACUGGAUUUCUUAGCAAUACAGAAGCGAACUUUCUCCCGGAUGUAUUUGUUAGUUUCAGUGUGGAGGUAAGGAUGUUGACAUGGCAGACUUGCCUGACACUGUGGGACCUACCCUCCUCCUACCCUCUCCCUCUCCGAGAAUGCUGAAGGACACUGGCCCUUCUAGAGAAAUCUCUUCAGGAAUACAGAUUUGCAUUCUGAUCUGUAAAAGCACUGGUCUCCAUACAUUCUGAGUUAACUAGAACUAAAAUCAAUUGCAACAUUUCCCGCUGAAGAUUGUGUGCUAACUUGUUAGCAUCGAUCUAAUAAAGCACAAUUUGGGACAAAUGACAGAAUUCCAAUGGGAGCUGCUCAAAAACAUAACAUUCUACCUCAAAAAUGUAACCUCGGAGGGGUCGUAAUUUUCCUGACUCCCUGCUAACUUUACAUGGACUUGUUCUUGUCUAGUAAAAUGCUAUUUCUUAGGUUUGGGGCAUCCUCAGUGGUAGGAUUUGCCUGGCAUGGGAGAGGCCCCAAGUUUGAUCCCCAGCACCCCUAACCCCCCCAAACAACAACAACACAACAAAUAAAACCAAUAGCUUUUCUCCUGC